GAUGAACGCUGGCGGCGUGCCUAAUACAUGCCAGUCGAGCGAACAGAUGAGGAGCUUGUUCCUCUGACGUUAGCGGCGGACGGGUGAGUAACACGUGGAUAACCUACCUAUAAGACUGGGAUAACUUCGGGAAACCGGAGCUAAUACCGGAUAAUAUGUUGAACCGCAUGGUUCAAUAGUGAAAGACGGUUUUGCUGUCACUUAUAGAUGGAUCCGCGCCGCAUUAGCUAGUUGGUAAGGUAACGGCUUACCAAGGCAACGAUGCGUAGCCGACCUGAGAGGGUGAUCGGCCACACUGGAACUGAGACACGGUCCAGACUCCUACGGGAGGCAGCAGUAGGGAAUCUUCCGCAAUGGGCGAAAGCCUGACGGAGCAACGCCGCGUGAGUGAUGAAGGUCUUCGGAUCGUAAAACUCUGUUAUUAGGGAAGAACAAAUGUGUAAGUAACUAUGCACGUCUUGACGGUACCUAAUCAGAAAGCCACGGCUAACUACGUG
rnacentral:rRNA from 1 species